GAACAAGCUGCACAGAACAGCACAACAAAGACUAGGCUGAAGAGAAACAACACAUAGAUAGUAGUUCUAGACAGCAGAAAGAGAUUUCUGUGUCAAUGUUCAGUAUUGAAAGCUUGUCAACCAUUGGUGGUGCCUGUAUUAAAAAAAACAACAAUCUACCAAGUAUUACAUCAUAGUCUAAGAACACUUUUCUCAGAGCCCAUUGAAUAAAGUAUGAAUAAAGUCAGAGAGAACUUCUUAGCGGUCACACACAGCUGACACGAGCGGGGGAAGAGGUCAUUGUUUUAUCAGCAGCUGCUUCCUCUGCUGUGUUGUUGUGUAUCGAUCGAGAGACGUGCACAGCACGCACCACGGUUGGCACACACACACACACAGAUGCCAGUGAAUAUAAUGCCACUACAGAAGCCUGACUCACAGGCCGUCACGGGCAGACGAUCUGUUGAGCUGUUCAACGUUAAACCAUUGUCAUCGGCGAAACAGACAUGACCCAGACAGCGCGCAUUAAUGACAAUGUUUGGUCAUUAUAUGAUUUGGAUAUUUAAUCAAAUAGGUCAGCAACAUAAUGGAGUCACAGCAUUUAGGUUGGUGAAACGAGAUGAAUGCCGACACUGGUGUAACUGGCCUGAGCCCUUGAGCUGAGGUUAGUUAAGGUCAUUCCGUCUUUGGUGGAAGUAACUUAGUGAUGGUCUGUAAAAGGACGAAAGAGGUUUUAAUGUAAAUAAAAAAGGUUCCCUUGCUAUCAAUGAUUUCCUUCUAGUUCUACAUCCCCAUUUUCUUUCUGUCCUACAAACAACUACACACAUUUUAACCUCCUUUUAAACUAGAACUGACCUACAGUCUAAUUUUACUCACAUUUUAACAUC